rnacentral:rRNA from 1 species
UACGUAGGUGACAAGCGUUGUCCGGAUUUACUGGGCGUAAAGAGCGCGCAGGCGGUCGAUCAAGUCGAGUGUGAAAGCCCCCGGCUCAACUGGGGAGGGUCAUUCGAAACUGGUCGACUCGAAGGCAGGAGAGGGUAGUGGAAUUCCCGGUGUAGUGGUGAAAUGCGUAGAUAUCGGGAGGAACACCGGUGGCGAAGGCGGCCCCCUGGUUGGAUACUGACGCUGAGACGCGAAAGCGUGGGGAGCAAACAGG